CACUGCGGCGGCGGCGACCGAGGGGCGGCGGCGGCGGGGGCCAUGACAGGAGGCCCGGCGAGAGGAGGCGGUGGGGAAAGAACGAGACACACAGAGGGACAAGGGAGAGAGACAGCGCGGGAGCGCCGGGUCAGAGUCGGCGCCUCAGGACCGACCCCCGCUCGCCGCCCUCUCCCCAAGCACGGACACGCCGAGCACCGCUUACCAUAGAAGCCAGCAGUCCGUGAUAUCACUCCUGAAACGCUCUGGGCAGCACAUGGUGGCCAGUGCAGUGACCUCCCGAUCAAAGGCACCGAAAGAGCGUCCGUUCCCCAUGGCUCUGCCGCUCCUUCCGGCAAAUCCUUCCCUCUGAGCGUCAGAUGUUCCCCAAAACUCUGAACAAAGCAAAACUUUUAUGCUUAAAUACUUUCAUCCCAUUUAUGUAUUUUGCUUGUGCUACAGUGUGCAUAAUUCAUAAACUGAUCAAGGCUUAUAAAACGAUUAAUAAACACAAGAUACAGUAAAAA